AGGGUUUGAUCAUGGCUCAGAUUGAACGCUGGCGGCAGGCCUAACACAUGCAAGUCGAGCGGAUGAAGGGAGCUUGCUCCUGGAUUCAGCGGCGGACGGGUGAGUAAUGCCUAGGAAUCUGCCUGGUAGUGGGGGAUAACGUCCGGAAACGGGCGCUAAUACCGCAUACGUCCUGAGGGAGAAAGUGGGGGAUCUUCGGACCUCACGCUAUCAGAUGAGCCUAGGUCGGAUUAGCUAGUUGGUGGGGUAAAGGCCUACCAAGGCGACGAUCCGUAACUGGUCUGAGAGGAUGAUCAGUCACACUGGAACUGAGACACGGUCCAGACUCCUACGGGAGGCAGCAGUGGGGAAUAUUGGACAAUGGGCGAAAGCCUGAUCCAGCCAUGCCGCGUGUGUGAAGAAGGUCUUCGGAUUGUAAAGCACUUUAAGUUGGGAGGAAGGGCAGUAAGUUAAUACCUUGCUGUUUUGACGUUACCAACAGAAUAAGCACCGGCUAACUUCGUGCCAGCAGCCGCGGUAAUACGAAGGGUGCAAGCGUUAAUCGGAAUUACUGGGCGUAAAGCGCGCGUAGGUGGUUCAGCAAGUUGGAUGUGAAAUCCCCGGGCUCAACCUGGGAACUGCAUCCAAAACUACUGAGCUAGAGUACGGUAGAGGGUGGUGGAAUUUCCUGUGUAGCGGUGAAAUGCGUAGAUAUAGGAAGGAACACCAGUGGCGAAGGCGACCACCUGGACUGAUACUGACACUGAGGUGCGAAAGCGGGGGGGAGCAAACAGGAUUAGAUACCCUGGUAGUCCACGCCGUAAACGAUGUCGACUAGCCGUUGGGAUCCUUGAGAUCUUAGUGGCGCAGCUAACGCGAUAAGUCGACCGCCUGGGGAGUACGGCCGCAAGGUUAAAACUCAAAUGAAUUGACGGGGGCCCGCACAAGCGGUGGAGCAUGUGGUUUAAUUCGAAGCAACGCGAAGAACCUUACCUGGCCUUGACAUGCUGAGAACUUUCCAGAGAUGGAUUGGUGCCUUCGGGAACUCAGACACAGGUGCUGCAUGGCUGUCGUCAGCUCGUGUCGUGAGAUGUUGGGUUAAGUCCCGUAACGAGCGCAACCCUUGCCCUUAGUUACCAGCACCUCGGGUGGGCACUCUAAGGAGACUGCCGGUGACAAACCGGAGGAAGGUGGGGAUGACGUCAAGUCAUCAUGGCCCUUACGGCCAGGGCUACACACGUGCUACAAUGGUCGGUACAAAGGGUUGCCAAGCCGCGAGGUGGAGCUAAUCCCAUAAAACCGAUCGUAGUCCGGAUCGCAGUCUGCAACUCGACUGCGUGAAGUCGGAAUCGCUAGUAAUCGUGAAUCAGAAUGUCACGGUGAAUACGUUCCCGGGCCUUGUACACACCGCCCGUCACACCAUGGGAGUGGGUUGCUCCAGAAGUAGCUAGUCUAACCGCAAGGGGGACGGUUACCACGGAGUGAUUCAUGACUGGGGUGAAGUCGUAACAAGGUA
rnacentral:rRNA from 1 species